GACGAACGCUGGCGGCGUGCCUAAUACAUGCAAGUUGAGCGCUGAAGGUUGGUACUUGUACCGACUGGAUGAGCAGCGAACGGGUGAGUAACGCGUGGGGAAUCUGCCUUUGAGCGGGGGACAACAUUUGGAAACGAAUGCUAAUACCGCAUAAAAACUUUAAACACAAGUUUUAAGUUUGAAAGAUGCAAUUGCAUCACUCAAAGAUGAUCCCGCGUUGUAUUAGCUAGUUGGUGAGGUAAAGGCUCACCAAGGCGAUGAUACAUAGCCGACCUGAGAGGGUGAUCGGCCACAUUGGUACUGAGACACGGCCCAAACUCCUACGGGAGGCAGCAGUAGGGAAUCUUCGGCAAUAGACGAAAGUCUGACCGAGCAACGCCGCGUGAGUGAAGAAGGUUUUCGGAUCGUAAAACUCUGUUGGUAGAGAAGAACGUUGGUGAGAGUGGAAAGCUCAUCAAGUGACGGUAACUACCCAGAAAGGGACGGCUAACUACGUG
rnacentral:rRNA from 1 species